rnacentral:rRNA from 1 species
CCUACGGGAGGCAGCAGUGGGGGAUAUUGCACAAUGGGGGAAAGCCUGAUGCAGCGACGCCGCGUGUGUGAAGACGGUCCUCUGGAUUGUAAACCACUGUCCCCAGGGACAAAGAUGACGGUACCUAGGGAGGAAGCUCCGGCAAACUACGUGCAAGCAGCCGCGGUAAUACGUAGGGCGGGAGCGUUGGCCGGAAUUACGGGGGGUAAAGGGAGCGUAGGCGGGGAUGCAAGUUGGGGGUAAAAACUACCGGCUAAACUGGGAGUCGCAAGUAAAACUGGAGCUCUUGAGUGCAGUAGAGGCAGGCGGAAUUCCUGGUGUAGCGGUGAAAUGCGUAGAUAUUAGGAGGAAUACCAGUGGCGAAGGCGGCCUGCUGGGCUUUUACUGACGCUGAGGCUCGAAAGUGUGGGGAGCAAACAGGAUUAGAUACCCCUGUAGUC